AAGGAUCAUUAAACCAUUUGGCCGUAACAAGCCUUAAACCUUCUCUAUGCGUACCUUCACAUUCUCCUUCGGCGGGGUAACGCCCGCCGUCGGAACCACCCAAAACUCUUUUUGCAUCUAGUAUCAAUACCCGUUCUGAUAAAAAAUUAAUCGUUACAACUUUCAACAAUGGAUCUCUUGGCUCUG
rnacentral:misc_RNA from 1 species